CCCAAAUCAAAAGAUUUGUAAGAAGGAAUGUUAGGAAUUGCUAAGGACAAAAAGAAUAAUUAGCUCAUUAAUAAAAAUUGAACACCUAAGGAGGGCGGUCCCUGUCUCAGCACAGAGAUGUUACUUUAGAGACAUGUCAAUGCAUGCAACACUGCCUCCAGUUAACACUAAAAAUUUUAGCAGCUGUACUCAAGAAAAUGUUUCUGCUGACUCAGCGAGCAGGCACAGAUGCUAGAGUGAAGUCUACCCUGGUGCCUAUUUCACCGCUUUCCCCUUGUGCUUCUACUGUAGAAGAGUUCCUAACCCACUCAGUUCUAACUAUAACUGUGCUAUAGCUUUGCUUGACUCCCUCAAAUGAAGAAGUUAUGUGUUGGCCAUCUAAGCCUCCAUGUAUUAAACAGCGCUGAGAGGUCUGCAGCCUUCAUGCAGGAUCCAGUAGCACUGGGAGAGUUUGAUGGAGGAAAGAGGGGUCUGUUCCCUCUCCAACUACUCUCUCAUCCCUUCUGUGUGAGGUCACAGAAUUAUAUCCUCUGGAGAAAAUGGGGUUCCAGGUAUCAUCUUGGAAGUAGACAGUGCUUUGUCUCUGUUUUCUCCUGACUGUCUAAGGCACAGAUUAAGCUCUGUCUCCAGCCCAGGGAACAAAGACCCGAAUCAUCAAGUCCCUUUACUUGGCUCACAGUUCAGGGAUAGAAACGUUUUAUCCCCAAACAGGAGAAAAAGAAAAAGCAGGAACAGUGACCAUGUCCCUUCCGCAUUCUUCUCCUAAGCAGUUUUCCCAGGCGCUCUCCUUUGUGACAACCUUCUGCCCCUAAGGAACAGCGUGCUGCUACUGGGUCCUGAAAGGCUUCCAGGCAUCCCCUUGUGCUGUGUGUUCCUGCAUAGACUUGCCCCCACCCAGGGACAUCCACCGGUUCUUCUGACUGCUGGCUACAAUUGGGACCAGAUGCGUCCCAGGCCCUGCAGUCCGUCACAGGUUUCUGCAGUCUGCACUCUCCCCUUUGAUCUUGCUUUAUUCUUGCUGCUGCAAAUCCUCAAAUAACUUCCUCAGAAUGGGUACGUGAAGGACCAGUUUUCUUAAUCUUUGAAUGCCUGCAAAACCUUAUUAUUUGCCAACAUGGAACAGUUAUUGGAUUCCUAGCAGUGUUGUUUAAAUGAGCUAGUACAAUCCAAAGACUACAGGAAACACAGUGGCUGGACAAUAACCAAAACAACUUUGAGAAGGAAAGAGCCAAAGAGCUAAUUCUACCCAAGUGAAGCCUGGAUUUAAAGCUAGCUGGUGGGCAAGAAGAGAUAAACUGAUGUCAGAUGAUUAUUUGGAUAUCUGUAACAUUUUUUAAACCUCUGCUUCCAUUUGGAACUUGUGGAUCAGCCCCUGACAAGAAUUUCCAGUGAUAUAGAUACUGUGAGAUUCACCUUGGGGUGAAGCCAUGGCCAGGCCCUGCACCUGACCACCUGGGGACCAUGGCUUAGCCCCACAGUGAGCUACAGAUUGUUAGCCAUCUACUCCUGACUUCAUAGCUCUUAUGGGAGUUUUAGAUUUCUCCACAGUCAGCCAUCAGGGGAGAGUCAUUAACACUUCAUAUCUUCCUAGCCCCUCAGACAAUCCAUGUGCAAAUCCUGAAGUUCAGUUUCUAUUGAAUGUGGGUUCCUUUGGAGUCAUUGCGAAGUGUAAAACACCAUCAGCCAGGACGGUAUAUGUUCCAACCCCCAAGAAGUUCUCUUCUUACAGUCAAGAUGUCCUUAAUACUCAGCAUUGUCACUGGGAGUCCCAGACCGUGCCUCUGUCUGCUUGCCACCACUAAAGCUGCCUAGUCAGACCAUGUCAUCCCCCUUAGAUGCUGGCACCUGCCUCCUCCUGCCAUGUUCCUCCUUCUCAGCAGCUGACAAGUCUUUAGUGAUUGCAGACUACACACUAGAAACCAGCAAUCAGGAUGACAGAGCGCCUCCAUUGAUCGGGAUGACCAAAGCACCUACCCUCAAGCAAGAUGGCCAAGCACGUGUCCUCAAAGCAAGAAGACAACCCCAACCACGCUCAGCAAGAUCAUAUCACCUAUCCUGACUACGACACAAGACUGACAUACAACAUGCAUGACGGCUGCAGCAUUAUGCAGUUGGCGCCAUAGUGAGAUGUCACCUUUCCGAAGCUCUAACAAAUGAGAAUGACCAGAAAGAAAGUGUAUCAACAGAGACCGAUUGACUUGUUAGAACUAUAGUGAGGCCAAGAGGUUGGAAUGUUGAAAGUCCAGGGGCUAAUUACCUUGUGUCAGCCCCCUAAGGAGUCAUUCCUUGCCCACCUUCCUUGUGGAACUAGUGUACGGUGACUCAAGAUCAAAACCUUUGGAAUCUGUUUAUUGAGCAGGCCCCCUGGCUUCCAACAACCCCGAAGCUAAGAAUGUGAUCUGAGAACCUUUGAGGCUUAGAGCAAAGCUUCCCCGACCUUCCCGGAGCUGCCUCUCUGACGGACUCACCAGCGUGUUUUAAACUUGCUUUGAUUGACGACUGCCUCUGUCCUGUAAAACUCCCAAGCUUCAUGCUGCAGCUUCCACAUUGGAACGCGGAGCUUGAGGUGACCUGAAGCUGUAUUCCUGGGCCAUGGUCACUGCACAUGCUUCCAGAAUAAACUAUCCCACAUACUCUUUUGAGGGCGAGCUCUGCUUUUUAUGUCAACGCCUGCCAUGCCCAACUUCACUACAGGCCCAACACUAUUGAAGUUUCCAAAAGGAUGGCCCAAACUAAAACUAAAACCCUCUCUGUGAGUUCACAACCUCCAGCAUUUGCUGGUAACGGCAAGCUGACCAGCACACCUUCCUGAUGUGAGAUCCAUGAAGACAGAGCAGACUUUAGAAGCAUGAUUAAACUCAGGUCCCAGAAGCCAUGCAAUCGUGAAAGCCACGUUUCUCCUUCUCGUGUCCUUCCACAAACCUGUGUGGCAGAGCCCCUAGUCUAGAGAGAUCCAGGAAGCAUUGAGCGCUGCAAUGGUGAAGAGAUGCCUCUGGUUUCCAAGAUGGCUGCUGUGUAACUCACAGGCAACUUGCACCUUCGCUGGGGAUCCACUGGACAAAGGGACGGGCCAUGUCCCAGGUGACUGAGCCACCAAAGGCAAAACCACAGACGGCAGAGGCUACUGUGUGUCUUCCAAGAGACAGCAGUGCGGUGCCGUCCUUUGGCUCCAGACAUUCUUCCAAACACUUAGACAGAACAUCUCAUUUACUCCACAGCACAACCCCAGGCUCUGACUAACAUGAGCUUCUCCUAUUUUACUGCUGAAGGCCCCCCCCCCGCCCCAGGCACAGACCAUGCUCAGGCAGAUGACAGAUUUGGGAGUCUUGCUGAGGACUGGGUUCUGUCUACUCCAAACACCAUCUGAAUGUUUGUGCCUUUUCCUCCCCGCAGUUUCCUGUGUGGGGUUGGCAACUAUCAUCUGCAUUUCGUAGCUAAGGAACCCGUUGUCAACAAAAGUAAAUACACAGGCAAAUAAAUUGCAGGCCAAGCCUUAAUAAGCUGAUGUCUAACUGAACGUGGAAUAUGAAGGACUGGCAAGAGUUAAGGAUGACCUUCGGGUUUCAUUUAGUCCUGUUUCUUUGAAAUAGACUGGAGAAGAUGUUAAAAGAAGUAGCUAGCUCUGUUUUAAACACAUAGAGCUUGCAGAGGCAUUGAAGGUCCAAGUUGGAAAGGCCUGAUGACUCCAUUAUACAAAGUGACAUUUCCGCAUCAUCUACAAGAGAACUGAAGAUGGUGUGUGGACAAUGCACAGGGCAGGGAUUAGGGGGAAAGAAACGGUGAAGGGAGGGGCUGGAGAUGAGUUCAUUUAGAUCCAAUGUUCAUCCACCCAAUCAUUGCUACCCUUAUUCAUGUUUUAGGAAGAGAAACCAUACAAGAAAAUUUAUGUUGCUUUUCCAAAAUUAUGAUAAUUAGUACAGAAAGAAGAAAAGGGAAAGAAAAACAGUGAGAAACACACAGAGAGUGCUAGAUGGAAAGCCUAAAACGUUUCCAUGAGGAGUGAAUUCAGAAUCCAAAACAUGCAGCCCUCUGCACCAAGCCACAGAUGCGUCUAUCUCCAAGAGCAGAUAGCGACUGAGAACUUACUUCAAGAAAGCACUGUGUAUCAUGUCAUCAUUGUCUUUCAGUCUGGGUACCACCCACCUGAGCAUCUCAGGUCAUACGGUUUGCCGAACUUUGGUGUUUUCGAUCAAUCUUCUCUUAUCACUAGGAUUAAAAAUAACUUGGGAUCGAAA